rnacentral:rRNA from 1 species
GCUAGCUACAGGCUUAACACAUGCAAGUCGAGGGGCAGCAUGUUGGUUGCUUGCAACCAAUGAUGGCGACCGGCGCACGGGUGAGUAACGCGUAUCCAACCUACCCAAUACUCAGGCAUAACCCGUUGAAAGACGGACUAAUUCCUGAUGGUAUGUAUUUUUCUCAUGAAUUAUACAUUAAAGAAUUUCGGUAUCGGAUGGGGAUGCGUCUGAUUAGUUAGUUGGUGUGGUAACGGCUCACCAAGACUUCGAUCAGUAGGGGUUCUGAGAGGAAGGUCCCCCACAUUGGAACUGAGACACGGUCCAAACUCCUACGGGAGGCAGCAGUGAGGAAUAUUGGUCAAUGGAUGGAAAUCUGAACCAGCCAAGUAGCGUGCAGGAUGACGGCCCUAUGGGUUGUAAACUGCUUUUAUGUGAGAAUAAAGUUAGGUAUGUAUACUUAUUUGCAUGUAUCACAUGAAUAAGGACCGGCUAAUUCCGUGCCAGCAGCCGCGGUAAUACGGAAGGUCCAGGCGUUAUCCGGAUUUAUUGGGUUUAAAGGGUGCGUAGGCCGUUUGAUAAGCGUGCUGUGAAAUAUAGUGGCUCAACCUCUAUCGUGCAGCGCGAACUGUCGAACUUGAGUGCGUAGUAGGUAGGCGGAAUUCGUGGUGUAGCGGUGAAAUGCUUAGAUAUCACGAAGAACUCCGAUUGCGAAGGCAGCUUACCGUAACGUUACUGACGCUUAAGCACGAAGGUGCGGGUAUCGAACAGGAUUAGAUACCCUGGUAGUCCGCACAGUAAACGAUGGAUGCUCGCUGUUGGCCUUUAUGGUCAGUGGCUUAGCGAAAGCGUUAAGCAUC